GGGCCUGUAGAUCAGUGGAAGUUAUGAACCUUGUAUUCAUGCUCAAGAGGUCACGGGUUCAAUUCCCGUCAGGUCCA
rnacentral:tRNA from 1 species